rnacentral:rRNA from 1 species
CCUACGGGAGGCAGCAGUGAGGAAUAUUGGUCAAUGGACGAGAGUCUGAACCAGCCAAGUAGCGUGAAUGAUGACUGCCCUAUGGGUGGUAAACUUCUUUUAUAUGGGAAUAAAAUGUUCCACGUGUGGGAUUUUGUAUGUACCGUAUGAAUAAGGAUCGGCUAACUCCGUGCCAGCAGCCGCGGUAAUACGGAGGAUCCGAGCGUUAUCCGGAUUUAUUGGGUUUAAAGGGAGCGUAGGUGGAUUGUUAAGUCAGUUGUGAAAGUUUGCGGCUCAACCGUAAAAUUGCAGUUGAAACUGGCAGUCUUGAGUACAGUAGAGGUGGGCGGAAUUCGUGGUGUAGCGGUGAAAUGCUUAGAUAUCACGAAGAACUCCGAUUGCGAAGGCAGCUCACUGGACUGCAACUGACACUGAGGUUCGAAAGUGUGGGUAUCAAACAGGAUUAGAUACCCUAGUAGUC